rnacentral:rRNA from 1 species
GAUGAACGCUGGCGGCGUGCCUAACACAUGCGAGUCGAACGAAAGUAAUUGAAAGCUUGCUUUUAGUUACUUUAGUGGCGGACGGGUGAGUAACGCGUAGGUAACUUGCCUCUUACAGGGGGACAACAGUUGGAAACGACUGCUAAUACCGCAUAACAUCAUAUUAAGGCAUCUUGAUAUGGUCAAAGGAGAAAUCUGGUAAGAGAUAGACCUGCGUCUGAUUAGCUAGUUGGUAAGGUAAAGGCUUACCAAGGCGACGAUCAGUAGCCGAGCGGAGAGGUUGAUCGGCCACAUUGGGACUGGGACACGGCCCAAACUCCUACGGGAGGCAGCAGUGGGGAAUAUUGCUCAAUGGAGGAAACUCUGAAGCAGCAACGCCGCGUGAAGGAUGAAGGUUUUCGGAUUGUAAACUUCUUUGAAUGGGGACGAAGAAAGUGACGGUACCCAUAAAACAAGCCACGGCUAACUACGUGCCAGCCGCCGCAGUAA